AAAACAUGAUUAAGAGGCUGUCAAUACCUAAAGCGCGCACACUGUCUAUUUGUAUCGGAGUAAAUGAGAUAGCACUGUCGCAUGUUACUGGGCCUGGGCAAGGGAAUAAUAAGAAAAAUAUUUAAAUAAAAAAAAUGGAUUAUUAGUGUAAUAUUUUACUCAACCACGGUUUAGAUAUAAAUGUUUUGAAAUUGUGAUUUUAAUUGCAGACCCAUAAGUCGAAACAAUAAAGACAUAAAACCGUUUAAUUGUGAUUUUAAGACCAAUCUUUGCAAUUAUUUUCUAUCGAGCCGAUUUCGUUCAAUCGUGUAUCGAGUACAACCACGGUCUUUGAAAUAUAAUUAAUA